rnacentral:lncRNA from 1 species
UCCGGUGUCCACAACAUGCUUCAUAUUAGGAUUGUAAGAUGCUAAUCAAUCAACGGACCACCUUAAUAAAUUAGUUUCAUCCUCUACGAAGGGACAUAUAUACGUAUCUAAUUUCCUGGUGCCUGUUUUCCUGUGUGAUGUUGCAGUUUCGCCGCGCUAUGUUGCUGCUGCUUGGUCGACGAGCCGCUCAUGUGACACGCUUGUCUUGCGUGCCGUGCCGUGCUUUGUACAUACUGCAGGAAACAUGCUAUCAUAUCAAAAUAAGUCUGGCCCGUGAAUGCUUUGCUUUCCUUCUGAAAUUCGGAGAAUCCUCCUUGCACACAAGUGAUUGUUGGAACUAUGUAGGUCGGGACUAUUAAGCAAAUUCAAUAAUUU